rnacentral:rRNA from 1 species
GUUACCAAGUACGAGAUUAUACCAUUUGUGUCGUCUGUUAGAUAUGUUGUUGUUGGAAUGUAAUCCGUCAAUGAGUUCACCGUUCCUUUUAGACGGAGGGUUUUCCGAACAUGCGGGUUCGUUCAUAGUUACGAGUGGAAAGCUAUUGCUAGACUCUCCGGGAGAGUGCGGUGAACUCUUCGUCGAUGUGUCGUUGUAACACCAUGAUUCGUUUUAACUUGGACUAUCUUCCCGCCACAACCAGCUAUUUUGGUCAGAUAGGGAACCUGUUGAGCCGUUAAGUAAGCUGUGGUUGCCUGUACACCUUCGAAUACAAAAGUUACAAAAGUUACAAAAGUUAUAGAUAAUUUUUGUUGUACUUUGUACUACCGCUCAGUGGGAAAGUGUACCUCCAUUUUCUAAACUACUAUUUGUUAAAAUAGUUUUGUACCCUUCUCAGCUCUGAGCCCUCUUACCCCAAGUCUUUAAAACCAUAUCUUAUGGGUUUGUACGGAUUCGUUUAACCUUCUCUACGAACGCCCUAAAAACACGAGUUCACCUACGUUUGAAAACGAAGCGCCUUAGGAGAGGUCGGGGUUAAGUCCUACUUCCUGCACCGUCUACGUUCCCAGUCUAAACGACAACUAUAGGAGAAGUCGUUAGUAUUGUGACUACUACUUCGGUUUUCUGAACAGUUCAUGAAAGCAAUUAUUUAACC